GAAAUGCGAUAAGUAAUGUGAAUUGCAGAAUUCAGUGAAUCAUCGAAUCUUUGAACGCACCUUGCGCUCCUUGGUAUUCCGAGGAGCAUGCCUGUUUGAGUGUCAUUAAAUUCUCAACCACUUCAGUUUUUAUAACCGGAGUUGGCUUGGAGUUGGGGGUUUUUGCGGGCCUUUCUGAGGUCGGCUCCCCUGAAAUGCAUUAGCAGAACCGUUUGCGGUACGUUGCCGGUGUGAUAAUUAUCUACGCCAUAAACGACCACUGCUCUCUGUCUGUUCAGCUUCUAAUCGUCCUUUGAUGGACAAUUUUUGAACUCUUGACCUCAAAUCAGGUAGGACUACCCGCUGAACUUAA
rnacentral:misc_RNA from 1 species